GAACAAGGCCGCUGCGGGGAGAAACGAGUUGAGUGCAGUACUACCAGGGACGUGGUGGGGAUCGAAUUCGGAACCACUCGUUUAUGAAGCGAGCGCUCUACCACUACACCACUACCGCAUAUCGAUGAAUAUAACGAGACUGAUAAUAAAAGUGAUGAAGAAUGCAAAACUUUGGAUGAAGUAGCCCAACUUAGCCCAGAGCCUAUUGAAACUAGUGUCAGUGAUGCCAAUGACAAUGCUAAAGAAGAUGUCAGUGAUGAUUUAAGUAACAUUUGUGCCACUCAAAAAUUAGAAAUAACAAGCAUGACAAGAGAACUUUUUAUCGCCUCAAUUGCACUUCAUGCAAUUCUGUUCGUGAUUUCAGGAGUGAUUAAAUUGUUUCAGGCAUUCAAAACCUUCUUUAGUAUUUAAAUAGUAUGUUUAGCUAUGGAGAAAAUAUUAGAUUUAUAAAUUUCGUACAUGUAGAAAAUGUUAUAUUACAAAAUUAGACUGGUUUUGACUUUCAUUUUUUUAAGUAGUAUGCUAUAUUUACUCUGAAUUAUUUGAGUCUUAUGAGAAUUAUUAUGGCUUUCAUACUCAAACCACUGCGUGUGUUAAUGGUUUUAAUGCAAACAAAUGGUUUUAAUGCAAACAAAAAAAUGAAACAAUGACCUUAUUUUUAUCUUUAUAUUUUUCAUGUUGUUAUUAAAUAUAGGUAUAUAAUGUAAUCAAUCAAUAUCAAAUAAAUGAUUACAAAUUGAUAUAAUAAAAGUUAAUUUGUUAUUGAUUUAAUAUUCAAUAACAAAUUGACAUAAUAAAUGUCUAUUUGUUAUUGAUUGAUUACAUUUUAGGUGUUUGAUUUUUUCAAAGCAUAUUAUAAGAGAAAGUGUAGCUAUAUGGUAGGGAGAAAUACUUAAAUAUUUUUCUAGCAGGAAAUAGAUAGCAUGUCUGCCAUAAUCUAAACACGAGGACAAUUUCUCAUAUAUAUUAAUAAAAAUCAUAUUUUUAUUUGCUUGAUUAACUCGUAAGAUGCAUUUAAAUAUUUGAUAAACAUAUAGCAUAUAUUUAUAUUCAUUUUUUUAGAUAGCAUUCUUUAUUGAAAAUAUUCCUACAUCCUGGAAGUCUAUUACAAGUUUUAUUCAUAAAAAUAUGUAUGAUUAUUCCUCAAUUUUGAUCUACCAAUACCUACAGAACCUAACAGUACAGAUGGGUUUGUAGUGUUUAAUCUACAUAUGCAGUUAGUUCUAAUUUUAAGUGUUUAUAAGCCUAUGAUUAUUCAAUAUCGACAUGAACUAGUUGGUGCUGGAGAUGUUAAAAGUUUGGCUCCUACAUUAACAUCUGAUAUUUUACACUUGCAUUUACUUUUUUCUGCAGAUGGUGCAAACCCUUAUUUUAAAAAGAAAUCAUCAUUUUGGCCAUUGCAGGCAACUCUACUUGACUUGCCAAGCAAUAUUAGGUCUUGUAUAGAAAAUUCUUUAUUUUUAGUCAUUUGCAGAUGCACUGGUAAACCUAAUUGGGAUUCUUUGAUUCCCUCUUUUUUUGAAAAAUUUUGAUUUAGACAAGAAAUUGUUUUUCUAUCUGGGUUGACUGUGAUCAUCUAUCCCUAUGCGGCUGUAUUUGAUUUACCUGCUCAAGCACAUUUUUUGAAUGUUAUGCAGUUCGAUAGAGAGUUUGGAUACCUGUUUUGUAAACAUCCUGGAAGGUGCAUCGAAUCUGGUCAAAGCCAAGCACAAGUGUACCAAUAUGAGUCUGCGGUUAUUAUUACAUCAAUUGAGUUUAGUAGUGUUGCAUUAGCAAGUAGAUCAAACUCUUUAAGACAGGUUAAAAAACCUAUUUUUGGAAAUAAAGGCCAGUGCUCACUGACAGAUUAUAUUUUAGUGCCAGAUAAUAUUUUAAUAGAUGAUAUGCAUUUGUUGUAUGAAAAUAUAACUUCAACUUUACUCAGCUCAUUUUUUGACAACAAAUAUCGUACUAAAUCCUUUUUUUUUAAGUCGCAGAAUUACAUUUUUAAAACAUGCUUAAAUAAUACAUACAUUUUUAAAACAUGCUUGCAAAUAUAUCAUUACCACAUAAUUUUACAAGGUCUCUCUUACGGUAGAGACCUUUAACUGAUUUGAAAAUGUGAAAAGCACAUGACUUCAAACAUAUGCUUGCUUAUUAUUCUGUUCCCUUACUUUUAUUUCAUUUGCGUCAAGGUCAUUGCAUUCAUUUUAUGUCUCUAAUUAUGUCAUGUCAUUUGCUGACAAAAUAAAUUAUCGGAAUUUGAUCGAUAAGUUGGAAACCUGUGUUCAGUAUUUUUAUUCGCAUCUGAGUGUUUUGUAUCCUUCUAAUUUUGCCACAAUAAGUGGACACUUAUUAUCACAUAUUCCUAGGCAAGUUUCUAAGUGUUUAGUUUUGAGUCAAAAAAUCAUUUAAUGAAAACUUAUAUGAAAGGUACUAAAGGUCACUUGUCGCAAGUUUGUUCAAAGAUUGCAUUGUAAAAUCAAUAUCAACCUACAUAAAAAAUAAUUGCUAUACCUCAAAAAAAGUUUGAGAGAAAAAAGGGGGGACAGCUCUAUGCUUAACGCUCAAAACAUGGCCUAAAACUACCGAUUUGUUAGUUAGGUAUUUGUUUUCUAUAAUAUUCCUAUUAAAUGAACAAUAAUUACAUAAAAGGGGGCAUUAUUUAAAUGUAGCUUGUUACUUCUAAAAGUGUAUCUCCUGUCAUCAAUGUCUCUAAAAUCUUCUAGCCAAUCAUCUGCUGAUACUGAUGAAGAUCGAGAUUGGGGCUUAUCUGCAGACUCCUUAGCUAGAGUCAAUAAAGAAAAUUCACUUUUUGGAGAUUUAGAAAUGCAGUUUGGUUUAGCCACAGAAUCUACACCUGCCAAGAAAAGGAACUUUGAUGCUGAAGAUGUCAUUCUAAAAACAAGGCUCCAACAUAAUGGUGCUUCAUUUCAAUCACCUCAUUGCUUACAUAAAAAAACAGUGGAAACUUCCAAACUAGCAGGUCCAUCUAAUCAACGCAAUGCUACCAAUAACCAAUCAAAGGUGUUGCAGGAAUCAAGUAUGCAAUUUGUAUCUCAAAUUUUAACGAGAAUUGUUUUCUGUCAGUGCCAGAAAUAGAAUGCACACCUGCAAAUUUCAUAAUUCAUAAAUAUAUUAUGAAUCCAUUAAUGUAAUUCAAAGUGUAUGGAGCUUGUAUCUGAAGAUUUUAUAGAAAGUACAAUUCAGUUUGUUAACAAAUUUGAUUGAAAAAAUGCCCAAGAUACAUACUUGCAGUCAUUGAUUGAAAAGAAAGAAAUAGAGAGAAGACGGUUUAGAUCUAAAGAAAAAAUAAUUUUCUUUUACACAUUAAGAUUGAAGGUCUAAGAAAAAAAGUACGCAAGAAAGCUUUUUGCUGUAUGCAUGGAAUUUCUAUGAAACAAGUUAGACGUUUAUGCAUUUUAUUAAAAAAAAGAAGGGUACCAAAACUUCUAUACAAAGGUUUUCGCUUCGCUAACAACUUUGGCAAACAAUGAAUUCCAAGAAAUAAGUGAUGAUUACCUAACAAUAAUUGUUUUUAUGUAAUAAUAAAUCAUUAUUAUUCUGAUAAUCUUUGGUUUUUUAUAUACAAAAAAGCGUUCAUUGCGAAAAAGACAUUAGUCCAUAAAUU